rnacentral:rRNA from 1 species
GAUAAACGCUGGCGGCGCACAUAAGACAUGCAAGUCGAACGGACUUAACCGAAAUGUUUACAUUUUGGAGCGGUUAGUGGCGGACUGGUGAGUAACACGUAAGCAACCUGCCUAUCAGAGGGGAAUAACAGUGAGAAAUCACUGCUAAUACCGCAUAUGCUGUGAGUAUCGCAUGGUACAAACAGGAAAGGAGCAAUCCGCUGAUAGAUGGGCUUGCGUCUGAUUAGAUAGUUGGUGGGGUAACGGCCUACCAAGUCGACGAUCAGUAGCCGGACUGAGAGGUUGACCGGCCACAUUGGGACUGAGAUACGGCCCAGACUCCUACGGGAGGCAGCAGUGGGGAAUAUUGCACAAUGGGGGAAACCCUGAUGCAGCGACGCCGCGUGAGUGAAGAAGUAUUUCGGUACGUAAAGC